UCGGAGCCCGGAGAUGGGGACUGAGACAAGGCCCCAGGCCCUACGGGGCGCAGCAGGCGCGAAAACUCCGCAAUGCGCGCAAGCGUGACGGGGGAAUCCCAAGUGCCGUUGGUCUUAUGAUCGACGGUUUUUAGGAAGUCUAAGAAGCUUCCAGAAUAAGGGCUGGGCAAGACUGGUGCCAGCCGCCGCGGUAACACCAGCAGCCCAAGUGGUGACCACGAUUAUUGGGCCUAAAGCGCUCGUAGCCGGAUCAGCAAGUCCCUUGUGAAAUCGGGCCGCCUAACGGUUCGGCGUGCAAGGGAUACUGUUGGUCUUGAGGCCGGGAGAGGUCGGAGGUACUCCUGGGGUAGCGGUGAAAUGCUCUAAUCCUAGGGGGACCACCAGUGGCGAAGGCGUCCGACCAGAACGGACCUGACGGUGAGGGGCGAAGGCUAGGGGAGCGAACGGGAUUAGAUACCCCGGUAGUCCUAGCUGUAAAGCAUGCGGGCCAGGUGUCUAGCGCUCCUUGAGGGCGCUAGGUGCCGGAGGGAAGCCGUUAAGCCCGCCGCCUGGGAAGUACGGCCGCAAGGCUGAAACUUAAAGGAAUUGGCGGGGGAGCACCACAAGGGGUGAAGCCUGCGGUUCAAUUGGACUCAACGCCGGAAAACUUACCAGGGGAGACAGCGGUUGACGGCCAGAUUGACGAUCUUGCCCGACUAGCUGAGAGGUGGUGCAUGGCCAUCGUCAGCUCGUACCGUGAGGCGUCCUGUUAAGUCGGGCAACAAAAGAGAUCCUCGCCCUUAGUUGCCAUCGGUGGAAAGCCGGGCACUCUAGGGGGACCGCUGGCGCUAAGUCAGAGGAAGGAGAGGGCGACGGUAGGUCAGUAUGCCCCGAAUCCCCUGGGCUACACGCGGGUCACAAUGCGCAGGACAAUGAGGUGCAACCCCGUAAGGGGAAGCCAAACCCAUAAACCUGCGCUCGGUUCGGAUCGAGGGCUGUAACUCGCCCUCGUGAAGCUGGAAUCUCUAGUAAUCGCGUGCCAACACCGCGCGGUGAAUGCGUCCCUGCUCCUUGCACACACCGCCCGUCAAGCCA
rnacentral:rRNA from 1 species